UUAUAUUAUUAUCUUGGUAUAAAAUACAUAUAGAUAGACAUUGCAAGAUUGAAAGGAACUUAGGAAAAAUGGGUCAUCUUUAUGCAUUAGACUUUGAUGGAGUUCUGUGUGAUACUUGUGGAGAGACUGCUAUCUCUGCCGUCAAGGCAGCCAAGUUGAGAUGGCCAGCAUUGUUUGAUGGUGUGGAUCCAACCGUUGAAGAUUGGAUUGUUCAACAGAUGAUUACAGUGAGGCCAGUGGUGGAAACUGGAUAUGAGACUCUCUUACUUGUGAGAUUAUUGCUUGAGACCAGAGUUCCAUCAAUUCGAAAAUCUUCGGUUGCAGAAGGGCUCACAGUUGAGGGUAUAUUGGAGACAUGGAUCAAAUUAAAGCCUAUUGUGAUGGAAGAAUGGGAUGAGAAUAGAAAUGAACUGAUAGAUCUUUUUGGAAAGGUCAGAGAUGAUUGGUUGCAGAAUGAUUUCUCUGGUUGGAUGGGAGCAAACAGAUUCUAUCCUGGUACUGCUGAUGCACUAAGAUUUGCAAGCUCAAAAGUUUACAUUGUCACCACAAAACAGGGCCGUUUUGCUGAUGCUUUACUGAAAGAGCUUGCUGGAAUCACUUUACCACCAGAAAGAAUAUAUGGUUUAGGAACUGGUCCUAAGGUAGAAAUGCUAAAGAAGCUUCAAAAGAUGCCAGAGCACCAAGGACUGACCCUACAGUAAGAUUUUGCCUUUCAGCUUUGUGGAAGAUAGGCUUGCAACCUUAAAAAAUGUCAUUAAAGAACCAGAGUUGGACAAUUGGAAUUUGUAUCUAGUUAAUUGGGGGUUCAACACUCAGAAAGAGAGAGAUGAAGCAGCAGCUAGCCCCAGGAUUACACUUCUUGAGCUGUCUGACUUCAGUAAGAAGCUGAAAUAGUAGUUCCACUUCAUUAGAUUGUCUAUCAUUGUAUUAUAUCAUUUCAUUUAAUUACAUUCCAUUAAUGCAAAACAAUGGUAAAUUCCUUCUGUCUCUAAGCUUUUGCAUCAUCAUAUUUAUAAUUGUAAUGUUUCUCUCCAAUUUAGAAUAAACUAUAAUUUUUUA